rnacentral:pre_miRNA from 1 species
UUUGUACUCCCUCCGUCAAAAUUCUUGUCUUAAAUUUGUCUAAAUAUGGAUGUAUCUAGUUACAUUUUAGUGUUAGAUACAUUCGUAUCUAAACAAAUGUAAGACAAGAAUUUUGGGACGGAGGGAGUACUAC